rnacentral:rRNA from 1 species
AUGGCGACGCGGCGAUGCCUCCUCCGCCUCCUCACGCGCGGCCUCGCCCCGCACGCCCCGCAGCCCCUCGCGCCGGCCUCGAUCGCGGCCCGGACCCUGACCUCCCUGCCCCGGCCCCUCGCCCCCCGCGCCGCCGCCGCCUCGCUCCGGCUCUCCCCCCCGCGCUGCCACUUCGCGACCCGCUCGUCCGACGAUGAGGGGGACGACGAGGAGCACUACGAGGACGAGGAGGACGGGAGCGGGGACGAGUGGGGGGAGGGCGACGAGGAGACGCCCGCCGCGAAGCCGCCCAGCGGGAAGACGGAGGAGGAGAAGCUGGCCGAGGCGAACGAGAUCGGGUACAAGGUGGUCGGCCCGCUCGGCGCCGACGAGAAGCCCUUCAAGCCCUACGAGCCCGUCUUCGCCGUCGUCCAGAUUGGUUCGCACCAGUUCAAGGUGAGCAAUGGCGACUCCAUCUUCACGGAGAGGCUCAAGUUCUGCGAUGUGAAUGACAAGUUAGUUUUAAAUCGAGUUCUCAUGCUUGGCUCACAAGCUCAAACAAUAAUUGGGAGGCCAAUUCUUACUGAUGCCACUGUUCAUGCUGUUGUCGAAGAGCAUGCUCUAGAUGCAAAAGUUAUUAUAUUCAAGAAGAAAAGGAGGAAAAAUUACCGCCGAACAAGGGGACACCGUCAGGAAUUGACAAAGCUGAGGAUAACCAACAUCGAAGGAAUAGACAAGUCCUUUAUUCAACAAGAAGGAACAGAUAAGCCAGAGAGUGCCGCUGUUGCUGCUUAA